GACGAACGCUGGCGGCGUGCCUAAUACAUGCAAGUCGAACGCAGUGGGGACGGGUGAGUAACACGUGGGUAACCUCCCAUCAGAGGGGAUAACACUUGGAAACAGGUGCUAAACCGAUACUGAUGGAUGGACUCGCGGUGCUUUAGCUAGUUGGUGAGGUAACGGCCCACCAAGGCCACGAUGCAUAGCCGACCUGAGAGGGUGAUCGGCCACACUGGGACUGAGACACGGCCCAGACUCCUACGGGAGGCAGCAGUGGGGAAUCUUGGGCAAUGGACGAAAGUCUGACGGAGCCACGCCGCGUGAGUGAAGAAGGUUUUCGGAUCGUAAAACACUGUUGGUGGGGAGGCGUUAUCUAACCAGAAAGCCACGGCUAACUACGUGCCAGCAGCCGCGGUAAUUC
rnacentral:rRNA from 1 species